CUCCACUGAUGGUUAAUUUUGAGAGACAACUUGUCUGGGCCAUGGAACCCAGAUGUUGGUUGCAUGUGUGAAG
rnacentral:snoRNA from 1 species